GGUGCACCCUGUGAGGAGAGAGUUUGAGCUGGUAAACCCAGGGGAGAGCCAGAAGGUGGGGCUGAUAAGUAAGAAGGAGUCCAGUGAAAGCACAACAGAGUUUGAGGGAAAACAGGCAACAGUUGCAGGUAUAAAGUCCCUGGAUUCGAACCUGGAGUAGUGGGUGGGCCUAGGUUCCCCUCCCAGCCACUGGGGAAGUGGCACAGAUCAGGCAGUGGAGCAUAGGCUGCCUAGGACAGUUGUCCAGAGCGACUUUGUUACCCUGAAAGGGGAGGACUAUAGUGACCUGGCUGGAGGGCUGAAUCAUGAAGGAGCACCCUGAGUCCUAGAGACCGACAGAGACCACAAAGCAAGGAACUGACAGGAGGGGAUGUCACACCUGGAACUAGCUAAUCCCCAGAGCAACCAGAAGGAGGUGCUCCAAUGUUUGCAUCUGUUCUCUAUGCUCCAUGCAAUAUUGUGCUCUGCAUUGGCAGGAAAAAAGUAACAAAGCCAAUGGAAACAUAGUGCACUCAUCAGCACAGGUGACCAUGGAGUUCCAGAAUUGCAAAAGAGCUCCAGCAUGGACCAAACGGGAGGUACUGCAUCUGAUCGCUGUAUGGGAGAUGAAUCCGUGCUAUCCAAACACCGUUCCAAAAGACGAAAUGCUGGAAUAUUUGAAAAAUCUCCAAGGCCAGAGGUUAUAACAGGGACCCGCUGCAGUGCCACGUGAAGCCUACCAGAGAGGUAAAUGGCCGCUCUGGGUCAGAUCUUCAGACAUGCCGCUUCUAUGAUGAGCUGCAUGCCAUUCUAGAGGGUGUCCCUACAACUACCCCACCCCUGUGCUUCCCUCCUCUCCCACCCCUCCUGGGCUACCUUGGCAGUUA